rnacentral:rRNA from 1 species
UACGUAGGGUCCGAGCGUUGUCCGGAAUUAUUGGGCGUAAAGGGCGCGUAGGCGGUUCGGCACGUCGGGAGUGAAAACUCGGGGCUUAACCCCGAGCCUGCUUCCGAUACGGGCAGACUAGAGGUAGGCAGGGGAGAGCGGAACUCCUGGUGUAGCGGUGGAAUGCGCAGAUAUCAGGAAGAACACCGGUGACGAAGGCGGCUCUCUGGGCCUUACCUGACGCUGAGGAGCGAAAGCGUGGGUAGCGAACAGG